rnacentral:rRNA from 1 species
UUAGUAACGGCGAGUGAAGCGGCAAUAGCUCAAAUUUGAAAGCUGGCCCCUUCGGGGUCCGCGUUGUAAUUUGUAGAGGAUGAUUCGGCGAGGGCUCCCGUCUAAGUCCCUUGGAACAGGGCGUCAUAGAGGGUGAGAAUCCCGUAUGUGAUGGGCUGCCUUAGCCAUGUGAAUCUCCUUCGACGAGUCGAGUUGUUUGGGAAUGCAGCUCUAAAUGGGAGGUAAAUUUCUUCUAAAGCUAAAUACCGGCCAGAGACCGAUAGCGCACAAGUAGAGUGAUCGAAAGAUGAAAAGCACUUUGGAAAGAGAGUUAAAAAGUACGUGAAAUUGUUGAAAGGGAAGCGCUUGCAGCCAGACUUGUCCGCAGUUGCUCAGCUUGUCUCCUGACAGGCGUACUCUUCUGCGGCCAGGCCAGCAUCAGUUCGGGCGGUCGGAUAAAGACCUAGGGAAUGUAGCUCCUCUCGGGGAGUGUUAUAGCCCUGGGUGCAAUGCGGCCAGCCUGGACUGAGGAUCUCGCUUCGGCUAGGAUGCUGGCGUAAUGGCUGUAAGCGGCCCGUCUUGAAACACGGACCAAGGAGUCUAACAUCUAUGCGAGUGUUUGGGUGUCAAACCCAUGCGCGUAAUGAAAGUGAACGGAGGUGGGAACCCUCACGGGUGCACCAUCGACCGAUCCUGAUGUCUUCGGAUGGAUUUGAGUAAGAGCAUAGCUGUUGGGACCCGAAAGAUGGUGAAMUAUGCCUGAAUAGGGUGAAGCCAGAGGAAACUC